CGCGUAAAGAACUUGCCUCACAGCUAGGGACAACAUUUAGAAAUGAAUGCUAAUACCUGAUAUUAUGAUUUUAAGGCAUCUUAGAAUUAUGAAAGCUAUAAGCACUGUGAGAGAGCUUUGCGUCCCAUUAGCUAGUUGGAGAGGUAACAGCUCACCGAGGCGAUGAUGGGUAGCCGGCCUGAGAGGGUGAACGGCCACAAGGGGACUGAGACACGGCCCUU
rnacentral:rRNA from 1 species